rnacentral:rRNA from 1 species
CAGUAGGGAAUCUUCCACAAUGGACGCAAGUCUGAUGGAGCAACGCCGCGUGAGUGAAGAAGGUCUUCGGAUCGUAAAACUCUGUUGUUAGAGAAGAACACGAGUGAGAGUAACUGUUCAUUCGAUGACGGUAUCUAACCAGCAAGUCACGGCUAACUACGUGCCAA